rnacentral:misc_RNA from 1 species
GAUGAAGAACGUAGCGAAAUGCGAUAAGUAAUGUGAAUUGCAGAAUUCAGUGAAUCAUCGAAUCUUUGAACGCGCCUUGCGCCUUUUGGUAUUCCGAAAGGCACACCUGUUUGAGCGUCAUGAAUACCUCAAUCUCCAUCUUUUCAUCGGAUUGAUGGGUGACUUGGAUGUUGAGCCCUGCUGGUAUGCUAUAUCAGCUGGCUUUAAACUUAUUAGCCGGCUCUGUACUGGAUCGGUUUGACUCGACGUGAUAAUAUUAUCGUUGAGGAUGCAUGUCUCAUGCAGCAGGAAAGUAUCAAAGCAGCUUCUAGCUUGCCUUUAGUGCACUUUUACAUUUUAGACCUCAGAUCAGGUGGGACUACCCGCUGAACUUAAGCAUAUCAAUAAGCGGAGGA